rnacentral:rRNA from 1 species
UACGGGGGGGGCAAGCGUUGUUCGGAAUUACUGGGCGUAAAGGGUUCGUAGGUGGCCUACUAAGUCAGACGUGAAAUCCCUCAGCUUAACUGGGGAACUGCGUCUGAUACUGGGGGGCUUGAAAUCGGGAGAGGGAUGCAGAAUUCCAGGUGUAGCGGUGAAAUGCGUAGAUAUCUGGAGGAAUACCGGUGGCGAAGGCGGCAUCCUGGACCGACAUUGACGCUGAGGAGCGAAAGCUAGGGGAGCAAACGGG